rnacentral:rRNA from 1 species
GGGAUUGCCUCAGUAACGGCGAGUGAAGCGGCAACAGCUCAAAUUUGAAAUCUGGCCCCUUCGGGGUCCGAGUUGUAAUUUGUAGAGAGUGUUUCGGGUGAGACCACGGUCUAAGUCGGUUGGAACAUUACGUCAUAGAGGGUGAGAACCCCGUAUGCGACCGUGGCUCGAGCCCAUGUGAAGCCUCUUCGACGAGUCGAGUUGUUUGGGAAUGCAGCUCAUAAUGGGUGGUAAAUUUCAUCUAAAGCUAAAUACUGGCUGGAGACCGAUAGCGCACAAGUAGAGUGAUCGAAAGAUGAAAAGCACUUUGGAAAGAGAGUUAAACAGUACGUGAAAUUGUUGAAAGGGAAGCGCUGGCAACCAGACCUGUCCGUAGGCGAUCAGCCGCUGUUCUCAGCGGUGCACUCGCUCUGCGAUCAGGCCAGCAUCGGUUUCGGCGGUCGGAUAAAGGCCCGGGGAACGUAGCUCCCUCUCGGGGGAGUGUUAUAGCCCCGGGCGCAAUGCGGCCAGCCGGGACCGAGGACCGCGCCUUUUGGCUAGGAUGCUGGCGUAAUGGUUGUCAGCGACCCGUCUUGAAACACGGACCAAGGAGUCUAACAUCUAUGCGAGUGUUUGGGUGUUAAACCCAUGCGCGGAAUGAAAGUGAACGGAGGUGAGAACCCUUUAGGGCGCAUCAUCGACCGAUCCAGAUGUCUUCGGAUGGAUUUGAGUAUGAGCAUAGCUGUUGGGACCCGAAAGAUGGUGAACUAUGCCUGAAUAGGGUGAAGCCAGAGGAAACUCUGGUGGAGGCUCGCAGCGGUUCUGACGUGCAAAUCGAUCGUCAAAUUUGGGUAUAGGGGCGAAAGACUAAUCGAACCAUCUAGUAGCUGGUUCCUGCCGAAGU